rnacentral:rRNA from 1 species
GACGAAGGGGGCUAGCGUUGCUCGGAAUCACUGGGCGUAAAGCGCACGUAGGCGGACUCUUAAGUCGGUGGUGAAAUCCUGGAGCUCAACUCCAGAACUGCCUUCGAUACUGAGAGUCUCGAGUCCGGGAGAGGUGAGUGGAACUGCGAGUGUAGAGGUGAAAUUCGUAGAUAUUCGCAAGAACACCAGUGGCGAAGGCGGCUCACUGGCCCGGUACUGACGCUGAGGUGCGAAAGCGUGGGGAGCAAACAGG